CAUCACUUCUCUGGAGGUACAACACUCACCCACAUCAUGGGCACUGAUCUUAUCCAAAACUGCUCAAGGCUUUAUUUCUAAACUUUGACACCUUUUUUCCCCAGUAUUCGUGCCCAAAAGUCCCUGAGAGAGUCCCAGAUUCAGGGAGGUUGGAAAAGCCUUCCCAGAGCUUCCAGUCCCAGCUGUGCCCAAUGUCCACCUUGUCCCCAGCCCAGAGCCCCGAGUGCCACCUCCAGGAACUCCCUGAACUCCCUGGGCAGCCCCUGCCACCGGCCCACGUCACUGCUGUGUCACCACAGCCACCAUCCUGUGUCACUGCUGUGUCACCACAGCCAGAACACCCUGUCACCACCAUGUCACCACAGCCACCAUCCCGUGUCACUGCUGUGUCACCACAGCCAGCACUCCCUGUGUGCCACCAUCCUGUGUCACUGCUGUGUCACCACAGCCACCACCCCAUGUCACUGCUGUGUCACCACAGCCAGCACUCCCUGUGUGCCACCAUCCUGUGUCACUGCUGUGUCACCACAGCCAGAACUCCCUGUGUGCCACCAUCCCAUGUCACUGCUGUGUCACCACAGACAACACGCCCUGUCACUGCCAUGUCACCUCAGCCAGCACUCCCUGUGUCACCACCCCGUGUCACUCUGUGUCACCCCAUCCAGCACACCCUGUCACUGCUGUGUCACCUCAGCCAGCACUCCUGCCACCAGGCGGUGUCACUGCUGUGUCACCAGGACACGCCCGGUGGCCAGGGGACACACCUGGUGGCCAGGGACACGCCCGUUGGCCAGGGGACACACCUGGUGGCCAGAGGACAUGCCCGGUGGCCAGGGGACACA
rnacentral:lncRNA from 12 species